GGGGAAUCUUGCACAAUGGGGGCAACCCUGAUGCAGCGACGCCGCGUGAGCGAUGAAGCCCUUCGGGGCGUAAAGCUCUUUCGACCGGAACGAUAAUGACGGUACCGGGAGAAGAAGCUGCGGCUAACUACGUGCCAGCAGCCGCGGUAAUACGUAGGCAGCAAGCGGUGUUCGGAGUUACUGGGCGUAAAGAGUGCGUAGGCGGUUUUCUAAGUUCGGUGUGAAAUCUCCCGGCUUAACUGGGAGGGUGCGCCGAAGACUGGGAAGCUGGAGUGUGGGAAAGGCAGGCGGAAUUCCUGGUGUAGCGGUGAAAUGCGUAGAUAUCAGGAGGAACACCGGCGGUGUAGACGGCUUGCUAGACCAUAACUGACGCUGAGGCACGAAAGCGUGGGUAGCAAACA
rnacentral:rRNA from 1 species